rnacentral:rRNA from 1 species
GGCCAUCGCUCAACGGAUAAAAGGUACUCCGGGGAUAACAGGCUGAUACCGCCCAAGAGUUCAUAUCGACGGCGGUGUUUGGCACCUCGAUGUCGGCUCAUCACAUCCUGGGGCUGAAGUAGGUCCCAAGGGUAUGGCUGUUCGCCAUUUAAAGUGGUACGCGAGCUGGGUUUAGAACGUCGUGAGACAGUUCGGUCCCUAUCUGCCGUGGGCGCUGGAGAACUGAGGGGGGCUGCUCCUAGUACGAGAGGACCGGAGUGGACGCAUCACUGGUGUUCGGGUUGUCAUGCCAAUGGCACUGCCCGGUAGCUAAAUGCGGAAGAGAUAAGUGCUGAAAGCAUCUAAGCACGAAACUUGCCCCGAGAUGA